CUCAGAUGAACGCUGGCGGCAUGCCUUACACAUGCAAGUCGAACGGCAGCACGGGCUUCGGCCUGGUGGCGAGUGGCGAACGGGUGAGUAAUACAUCGGAACGUGCCCUGUAGUGGGGGAUAACUAGUCGAAAGAUUAGCUAAUACCGCAUACGACCUGAGGGUGAAAGCGGGGGACCGCAAGGCCUCGCGCUACAGGAGCGGCCGAUGUCUGAUUAGCUAGUUGGUGGGGUAAAAGCCUACCAAGGCGACGAUCAGUAGCUGGUCUGAGAGGACGAUCAGCCACACUGGGACUGAGACACGGCCCAGACUCCUACGGGAGGCAGCAGUGGGGAAUUUUGGACAAUGGGGGCAACCCUGAUCCAGCAAUGCCGCGUGUGUGAAGAAGGCCUUCGGGUUGUAAAGCACUUUUGUCCGGAAAGAAAUGGCUCUGGUUAAUACCCGGGGUCGAUGACGGUACCGAA
rnacentral:rRNA from 1 species